rnacentral:rRNA from 1 species
UACGUAGGGAGCAAGCGUUGUUCGGAUUUACUGGGCGUAAAGGGCGCGUAGGCGGCGCGGUAAGUCACUUGUGAAAUCUCUGAGCUUAACUCAGAACUGCCAAGUGAUACUGCAGUGCUAGAGUGCAGAAGGGGCAAUCGGAAUUCUUGGUGUAGCGGUGAAAUGCGUAGAUAUCAAGAGGAACACCUGAGGUGAAGACGGGUUGCUGGGCUGACACUGACGCUGAGUGCGCGAAAGCCAGGGGAGCAAACGGG